GCGGGGGUGCCCGAGUCAGGUCAAAGGGGGCGGGUACGAUUCCCGCUGGCGUAGGCCUGCGUGGGUUCAAAUCCCACCCCCCGCACCA
rnacentral:tRNA from 1 species